rnacentral:rRNA from 1 species
UAUCUCUGUAGAGUCUGCAUAUCAAUAAGCGGAGGAAAAGAAACUAACUAGGAUUCCCUCAGUAACGGCGAGUGAAACGGGAAGAGCUCAAAUUUGAAAUCUUCAAGGUUUACCUUGACGAAUUGUAGUUUAAAGAAGUGUUUUCUGUUGGAGUUUUGGUAAAAGAUUCUUUGGAAUAGGACAUCAUAGAGGGUGAGAAUCCCGUAUUUGACCAUUAUUUCCAGCUUUGUGAUACACUUUCAAAGAGUCGGAUUGUUUGGGAAUGCAGUCCAAAAUGGGUGGUAAAUUUCAUCUAAAGCUAAAUAUUGGCGAGAGACCGAUAGCGAACAAGUACCGUGAGGGAAAGAUGAAAAGAACUUUGAAAAGAGAGUUAAACAGUACGUGAAAUUGUCAAAAGGGAAGCGUUUGACACCAGUGUUGUUUUCUCGAAAAUCAAUUAAAAAUGGUGGGAUUUUGUGUUGUAUUGACUUUAUCAGCUUUCCUGCACUCUUUUCUUGUCUUUUUUAAUGCACUUUUCGUUUAACAAGUCGACAUCAAUUUCUUUUGUUGUAAAAGGGUCAUUGGAAGGUGGCUUUCUUUUCGGAGAAAGUGUUUAUAGCCUUUGGCCUCUGCAAUCGGAGAGAUUGAGGUCUGCAGCGUAGAUCCUUCGGGGUUAGAUACAUUUGUGCUAAGUUAUAGCCUUUCAUAGACAACUUGUUGACUAUGAUCAGUCAUGUAGCUUACUCGCUUAUGCUAUUUUACCUACGCUUAGGAUGUUGAGUCAUCACACAUCUCU